CAAUAGCGUAUAUUAAAGUUGUUGCAGUUAAAAAGCUCGUAGUUGGAUUUCUGACGUCUUUUUUCUUCCUUCCUUGUUCACAAAUUGUGGAUGUUAGGUUUGAUUGGACGUCUUCCUUCCCUGUUAAUUUGGUUUUCAAGCAUUAACUUGUUUGUGGAUCAAAUGGGGAUCAUUUACUGUGAAAAAAUUAGAGUGUUCAAAGCAAGUAUUUAAUUUCUUGAAUACAUUAGCAUGGAAUAAUAAGAUAGGACUUUGGUUAUAUUUUGUUGGUUUGCAAACUGAGGUAAUGAUUAAUAGGAACAUAUUGGGGAUAUCUGUAUUUUUUAGUCAGAGGUGAAAUUCUUGGAUUUAAGAAAGACAAACUACAGCGAAAGCAUUUAUCAAGGAUGUUUUCAUUGA
rnacentral:rRNA from 1 species